GGAGUUAGCCGGUGCUUCUUCUGCGAGUAACGUCACAGCUAGCAGGUAUUAACUACUAACCUUUCCUCCUCGCUGAAAGUGCUUUACAACCCGAAGGCCUUCUUCACACACGCGGCAUGGCUGCAUCAGGGUUUCCCCCAUUGUGCAAUAUUCCCCACUGCUGCCUCCCGUAGGAGUCUGGGCCGUGUCUCAGUCCCAGUGUGGCUGAUCAUCCUCUCAGACCAGCUAGGGAUCGUUGCCUAGGUGAGCCAUUACCUCACCUACUAGCUAAUCCCACCUGGGCUUAUCCAUCAGCGCAAGGACCGAAGUUCCCCUGCUUUCCCCCGUAGGGCGUAUGCGGUAUUAGCAGUCGUUUCCAACUGUUAUCCCCCACAAAUGGGCAAAUUCCCAGGCAUUACUCACCCGUCCGCCGCUCGUCAUCUUCAAAGCAAGCUUUUGAAAUGUUACCGCUCGACUUGCAUGUGUUAGGCCUGCCGCCAGCGUUCAAUCUGAGCCAGAUCAAACUCUGA
rnacentral:rRNA from 1 species